AUUGAACGCUGGCGGCAGGCCUAACACAUGCAAGUCGAGCGGAUGAAGGGAGCUUGCUCCUGGAUUCAGCGGCGGACGGGUGAGUAAUGCCUAGGAAUCUGCCUGGUAGUGGGGGAUAACGUCCGGAAACGGGCGCUAAUACCGCAUACGUCCUGAGGGAGAAAGUGGGGGAUCUUCGGACCUCACGCUAUCAGAUGAGCCUAGGUCGGAUUAGCUAGUUGGUGGGGUAAAGGCCUACCAAGGCGACGAUCCGUAACUGGUCUGAGAGGAUGAUCAGUCACAAUGGAAGUGAGACACGGUCCAGACUCCGACGGGAGGCAGCAGUGGGGAAUAUUGGACACUGGGCGAAAGCCUGAUCCAGCCAUGCAGCGUGGGUGAAGAAGGUCUGCGGAUUGUAAAGCACUUUAAGUUGGGAGGAAGGGCAGUAAGUUAAUACCUUGCUGUUUUGACGUUACCAACAGAAUAAGCACCGGCUAACUUCGU
rnacentral:rRNA from 1 species